rnacentral:rRNA from 1 species
UCGAACGAGCGAGAGGAGGUUUACUUUCUCAAGCGAGUGGCGAACGGGUGAGUAACGCGUGAGGAACCUGCCUCAAAGAGGGGGACAACAGUUGGAAACGACUGCUAAUACCGCAUAAGCCCACGACCCGGCAUCGGGUAGAGGGAAAAGGAGCAAUCCGCUUUGAGAUGGCCUCGCGUCCGAUUAGCUAGUUGGUGAGGUAAUGGCCCACCAAGGCGACGAUCGGUAGCCGGACUGAGAGGUUGAACGGCCACAUUGGGACUGAGACACGGCCCAGACUCCUACGGGAGGCAGCAGUGGGGAAUAUUGCACAAUGGGGGAAACCCUGAUGCAGCGACGCCGCGUGGAGGAAGAAGGUCUUCGGAUUGUAAACUCCUGUUGUUGAGGAAGAUAAUGACGGUACUCAACAAGGAAGUGACGGCUAACUACGUGCCAGCAGCCGCGGCAAAACGUAGGUCACAAGCGUUGUCCGGAAUUACUGGGUGUAAAGGGAGCGCAGGCGGGAAGACAAGUUGGAAGUGAAAUCCAUGGGCUCAACCCAUGAACUGCUUUCAAAACUGUUCUUCUUGAGUAGUGCAGAGGUAGGCGGAGUUCCCGGUGUAGCGGUGGAAUGCGUAGAUAUCGGGAGGACACCAGUGGCGAAG